rnacentral:rRNA from 1 species
UACGUAGGGGGCGAGCGUUGUCCGGAAUUAUUGGGCGUAAAGAGCUCGUAGGCGGUCUGUCGCGUCUGCUGUGAAAACUCAGGGCUUAACCCUGAGCUUGCAGUGGGUACGGGCAGACUAGAGUGCGGUAGGGGAGACUGGAAUUCCUGGUGUAGCGGUGAAAUGCGCAGAUAUCAGGAGGAACACCGGUGGCGAAGGCGGGUCUCUGGGCAGUAACUGACGCUGAGGAGCGAAAGCGUGGGGAGCGAACAGG